AUGAAAUUGUCCCAUGGCAAAGACGAAGAAAACGGCCCCUUACGUUGUAGAGCGGCUUGCCGUCGACCACCACCCAUGGAACGAACUGGUGAGGAGGCACGAGCUCAGCUGUCUGUCUCCCAUACUCGAGCGAUAGCUGGAUGGAACAUGCGAAAUGCCAGCACUGGUUUAGCAAUUCAACAUGUAAAAUGCAUGUGGAUGAUGCAAGAAACGCAGAUGCAAAGGGGGACGGACAUUGUGGCCACGCUCGCCCUUGUAGCACUCCGUGACUGGCUUUGGGUCAAGCCCCUGUUUCUGGAAGCACGACUCCCACUCCCGGUGCUUGUUCUUCAACACCAGGUCCGACACGCAGUAAAUGAAGCCGAGAUGCACCUUCUGCAUAAAAACAACAGCUAUCAAUUUCAAGAAAAGUUCUCGUUGUCGUUGUUGUGUCAUGCGGUCGCAAUAAUACGUCGGGUGGUGAAGCAGCGAGCAGAGAUUAGUAAGAUGAGGCGUGAAUAA
rnacentral:rRNA from 1 species